rnacentral:rRNA from 1 species
UACAGAGGCCUCGAGCGUUGUUCGGAGUUACUGGGCGUAAAGGGUGCGUAGGCGGCUUUUUAAGUUUGGUGUGAAAUCUCCCGGCUCAACUGGGAGGGUGCGCCGAAUACUGAGAGGCUAGAGUGUGGGAGAGGAAAGUGGAAUUCCUGGUGUAGCGGUGAAAUGCGUAGAUAUCAGGAGGAACACCGGUGGUGUAAACGGCUUUCUGGACCAUAACUGACGCUGAGGCACGAAAGCGUGGGUAGCAAACAGG